rnacentral:rRNA from 1 species
AGCAGCCGCGGUAAUUCCAGCUCCAAUAGCGUAUAUUAAAGUUGUUGCAGUUAAAAAGCUCGUAGUUGAACUUCGGGGUUUACUCAUUGGUCAGGCUUAAUUGUCUGUACUGGUAAGAUGAAUCUCUACCUUCUGAGGAACUUUCAUGCCAUUUAUUUGGUGUGAUUGGAAAUCAGGACUAUUACUUUGAAAAAAUUAGAGUGUUUAAAGCAGGCUAACGUCUGAAUACAUUAGCAUGGAAUAAUGAAAUAGGACGGACUGAUUCUAUUUCGUUGGUUUCUAGGAUCACCGUAAUGAUUAAUAGGGAUAGUUGGGGGCAUUAGUAUUCAAUUGUCAGAGGUGAAAUUCUUGGAUUUAUUGAAGACUAACUACUGCGAAAGCAUUUGCCAAGGAUGUUUCCAUUAAUCAAGAACGAAAGUUAGGGGAUCGAAGACGAUCAGAUACCGUCGUAGUCUUAACCAUAAACUAUGCCGACUAGGGAUCGGACGAAGUUAAUUUAUAGUGACGCGUUCGGCACCUU